UUGCACGCUGGCGGCAUGCCUUACACAUGCCAGUCGAACGGUAACAGGUCUUCGGAUGCUGACGAGUGGCGAACGGGUGAGUAAUACAUCGGAACGUGCCCGAUCGUGGGGGAUAACGAAGCGAAAGCUUUGCUAAUACCGCAUACGAUCUACGGAUGAAAGCAGGGGACCGCAAGGCCUUGCGCGAACGGAGCGGCCGAUGGCAGAUUAGGUAGUUGGUGGGAUAAAAGCUUACCAAGCCGACGAUCUGUAGCUGGUCUGAGAGGACGACCAGCCACACUGGGACUGAGACACGGCCCAGACUCCUACGGGAGGCAGCAGUGGGGAAUUUUGGACAAUGGGCGAAAGCCUGAUCCAGCCAUGCCGCGUGCAGGAUGAAGGCCUUCGGGUUGUAAACUGCUUUUGUACGGAACGAAAAGACUCUGGUUAAUACCUGGGGUCCAUGACGGUACCGUAAGAAUAAGCACCGGCUAACUACGUG
rnacentral:rRNA from 1 species